AUACGUAGGUGACAAGCGUUAUCCGGAUUUACUGGGCGUAAAGGGCGUGUAGGCGGUCUUGCAAGUCAGAAGUGAAAUUCCUGAGCUCAACUCGGGCGCUGCUUCUGAAACUGCAGGACUUGAGUGCUGGAGGGGAUAGCGGAAUUCCUAGUGGAGCGGUAAAAUGCGCAGAUAUUAGGAAGAACACCGGUGGCGAAGGCGGCAAUCUGGACAAUAACUGACGCUGAUGCGCGAAAGCGGGGGGACCAAACAGGAUGAGAUACCCUGGUAGUCCACGCCGCAAACGAUGAAUACUAGGUGUAGGGGGUAUCGACUCCCUCUGUGCCGCAGUUAACACAAUAAGGAUUCCGCCUGGGGAGUACGGCCGCAAGGUUGAAGCUCAAAGGAAUUGACGGGG
rnacentral:rRNA from 1 species